UUUUUUUUCUUUUUUUGGUCUUUUUAGGGCCGCACCCGUGACAUGGAGGUUUGCAGGCUAGGGGUCCAAUCUGAGCUGCAGCUGCCGGCCUACAUCACAGCCGCAACAACGCAGGAUCCUUAACCCACUGAGCAAGGCCAGUCCCCGCCCCGCUUCUUCCUGGGGGUGUGGCCACUAGAGCUCCUGCUUUCCCUCCUCCGAAUUCUGAAGGCAGCUAUCAAAGUCCCUCUGUUACCUGUUUAAUGGCGUGUCCCCCCCACCCCCAUUAAUUUGUUGGAGUCCGAACCUCCAACACUUCAGAAUACGAUUUUUUUUUUCUGUCUUUUUAGGGCCACACCUGCGGCAUACAGAAGUUCCCAGGCUAGGGGUCGAAUCAGAGCUGUAGCCGAUGGUCUAUGCCACAGCCACAGCAAUGCAGGAUCCGAGCCGCAUCUGCGACCUACACCACAGCUCACGGCAACGAUGGAUCCUUAACCCACAGAGCGAGGCCAGGAAUUGAACAUGCAACCGCAUGGUUCCUAGUUGGAGUCGUUUCCUCUGCGCCAGGGUGGGAACUCCAGAUUUUUUUUUCUUUUCCCGGCCCCACCAGUGGCACAUGGAAGUUCAGGGCGGGAGGUGGGGGGUGUUGAAUGGGAGCUACAGCUGCUGGCCUAUACCACAGCCCACAGGAACACCAGAUCCUUAAUCCACUGAGCGGGGCCAGGGAUUGAUCCCGCAUCCUCAUGGAUGAUACGUUAGGUUCUAGCCCACUGAGCCACAGCAGGAACUCCCAGAACAUGAUCUUAUUUGGAGCUAAUCAGGUUCAGAUGAGGUAGCUCUCUAGUGUGGCCCUAAUCCAGUAUGACAGGUGUCAUAAAACUGGGGAGUCAGGACCCACAGCCAGACACACACAAAGGGGAGACAGUUGUGCGGGGACCCGGGUGGAAGACGGCCGUCUACACUCCAAGGAGAGAGGCCUGGAGGGAUCCUUGCCUCCCAGCCCUUGGAGGGCGCCAGAGCUGCCCUCCUCUUGAGCUCAGACUUGCAGCCUCCAGGAUGUAAGAAAACCCGUCUCCACCGUUAAAGCCCCCAGUCUGGCCGUUGGGUUAUGGCAGCUCCAGCAAAUGACACUGCUCUUCCCCCUCCUCUGUGUCACUCGGCCUCUGCCCUCACAUCCCCUGGUUUUCCCAAAGCCACUCAAUGCGGGGCCCUCAGAACAAUGUGCCGAUGAGCCCAACACAGGGCACGACCUGGGCCAGAAGACCUGAGUUUGAGUCUUUAUUCCACCUACUGACAGGAGGGCAAGAGGGCCAAGGUCUCUGAGCCUCAGUCUCUUCAUCUAUAAAAAUGGGCAUCGCAUCAUCUCGCCCCCUCCCUGCGUUACUGUGAACAGCAAAAGAGAAACGAGAGGACACAGGUGAAAAUUCUCUUUAAGUCAUAGCGGACUAAUGAAGUUACUGCUGUUACUAAAUUAUUUUUUUUAGGGCCGCACCUGCAGCAUAUGGACGUUCCCAGGCUAGGGGUCAAAUUGGAGCUGAAGCUGCCAACCUACCCCACCGCCACAGGAACGCGGAUCCAAGCCACAUCUGUGACCUAUGCCACACCUUGCGGUAAUGCUGGUUCUUUAACCCACUGAGCGAAGCCAGAGAUCGAACCUGAAUCCUCAUGGAUACUAGUCAGGUUCUUAACCUGCAGAGCCACAGUGGGAACUCCAGUUACCAUUGUUAUCCAUGCACACAUCCCUCUUUGGACUUGUCCUGAACUCUCUGUCCAUUAAAAACUUGAUUCUCCUUCUCCUUUUGAUGAUGCCAAAACACAUCCCCAGCCCACACGUGUCGAGUUGCCUUUUCGGACUCAAGAAUAUUCACCUUGUGAGAACUAGCCCGUUAUUCCAGCUUGAGAGCUUUUGGAUCUCAAUUUUCUUAUCUAGUAUAUUUACCAUCCUGUCCAGCUGGGCAUCUUUCAUAAAUCCAGUGACCAUAACCUUCUGUCCUCAUCCAAGCCUUCAUGGAAAGAGGCACCAGGACAAAGCCCUCUUGCCAAAUGAUCCAUACCCUUUGGGAUUGGUCUUCAAUUGGCAGCAGAUACAUUCGAUGCUACUAACAUCCAGGGAUAUGCUGGAGUGUCAUGUUGGUAGUUUAAAAUCAGCUACGGUGGGAGUAUUUACACCAUGGAAAUGAGCAAAUGAUGCGAAUCAGAUUUCAGCUCCCCCUUCCCACCCCGUCAAGAGUCAGCUGUUAAAUGCUCAGCACACCACUGCAUUCAGGCCAAGUGCAUGUGUCAGACUGAAGAUACUGGGAGAGACUUUGUCAAAAGCCUCCAAAUUAACACCUAUGUCUUUACGGAGCUUAAGAGCCUAACAAACUGUUCAAUAUUCAUAAUGUAACUUGGUUCUUUCAACAUCCCAGGAAGUAAAAGGGGUGGAUGGUACUAAUGGACCCAUUUUAAAGAUGAGGAAUUCAAGGUUAAUGACUGACUCAGAGCCAGUCACCUGACUGGUGCUGAAAGGGUCAAACACCCAUGUUCUGAUCUCAAGGUCAGUAUUCUUUUCUGCUCCCCAUCUGACUGCUCCCCUGUUGGUUGUUAAAAGCACCCUGAAUUGUAGUUCCCAUUGU
ensembl:lncRNA